rnacentral:lncRNA from 1 species
UCUUUAUCAUCAGUUGUUUUGCCUGUUUGAGAGCUUCAACCAGCUUCAGAAGGCAUUUCUCUGAGUCUUCUUUCAGGGAGCUGGGCAUCAGGUUCUCUGCAACAUCGGCAGGUAUAAUCUUUGUCUCCCUCGUUAGAAUUUCAAUUGAUUCAAAUAUGGGAUGUGUGUCCAAGCGCAGGUAAUUCUUUGCAAGCACCUUGAAUCCAUCAAAACUACAGUAUGAGAGCUCGAUGUGCUUAUCCAUUCUUCCCCUUCUUGUAAGAGCUGGAUCCAACUUAUCUACAUAAUUUGUAGUAAAGACAAUUAUACGUUCUCCACUGCAUGCAGACCAAAGACCGUCAAUGAAGUUCAGAAGCCCAGAGAGAGUGACUCUACUUCCACUCUCUUCAGUGUCCUUGCGAGAAACUUCUUUCUUUGUCUUUUCAAUCUUCUCUUCUGGAGGUUUCUUCUUCCUUUGACCGGUUAGAUCAAGUGAGCAGUCAAUAUCUUCUAUCACUAUAAUAGACUUACUUGUUGUUUCAGCCAAGAGCCUUCUCAAUUCUGUGUUGUCCCUCACAGAUGUCAAUUCAAGAUCACAGACGUCAUAAUCCAAUAAAUUUGCCAUUGCAGCAAUCAUAGUAGACUUCCCAGUACCCGGCGGACCAUAUAGUAGAUAACCACGCUUCCACGCCUUGCCAAUCCUCGCAUAGAAAUCCUUGCUCUCUCUAAACAUGAGGAGAUCAUCCACAAUAUCUUGCUU